GGGAAGGGAUUAAGACUAGGAAAUGAACAACUAACAAGUCUCAGAAGUUCCUGAGAUUUACAAAGCCCCUUCCUCCCCAAGGACAUGUAAACAGGAGGAGAGCCCUUGAUCUGACUCGUUGAGGUGCCAGAGCUCCAGGAUUUCAAGUUUUGUCAGCCAUCACCCAUACUGGGGUUUUUGGUGAUGCAGCUGCCUUCACGGUGUCUCUGAUCCCAUAAGUAGCCACUCAUUGAUACUCCUGAUUCCAUCAUGCAGCAAAGACCAGCAUUUCUUCAGGAAUCUUCGAGGACCCCAGCACCAGAUUGGGACUGCCGAGACAUUCAGUCAUGUGGACUGAGCAACUGCCAAGUUCUCGGCCUUUCCACUGGGAGACUGCUCCUGUUGGAAAAUCCAGAACACAGCCUACUACCUGGGGCUGCCUGGACAAGCUGUACCCACUGUUGACAGCAAUAGCUCACCAGCUUCCAUGUGACCAGGCCACACAGGGGAAGCCAGCUUCUCUGAAGAGGACCCUGAAGUUCCCACAGAGAGGCUGCAAGACGAGAUCUGAAGAAGUAGGCAGCCCUUAGGAGAAGGGUGUGGGCGUUCGUGUAUCCCCCUCCUCACCUAGACCCUGAUGGGUCAAGGGGUCACUGGGACUGCUGGAAAGGCCAUGUGGAUGGAGUAGAACGUAGAGGGAAGGUGGGUGGGUCUGCUCAACACAGAACCUGAAGUCUGAAUUGAAGGCACGUCUUUCAAAUCAAGGACGUAGCUGGAAAUACUCACAGAACCUGAAGUCUGAGUUGAAGGCACGUCUUUCAAAUCAAGGAAGUAGCUGGAAAUACUCACAGAACCUGAAGUCUGAGUUGAAGGCACGUCUUUCAAAUCAAGGAAGUAGCUGGAAAUACUCAGGGGAAAGCCAGGAAAGCCAGAAGAGGGUGUUGGAUGCUCCGGAGCUGAAGUUACAGGCAAUUGUGAGCUGCCACGCUGCUACUGUGAACCAUAUCCAAGUCUUCGGCAAGAACAUCCAGUGCUCUUAACUGCUGAGACAUCUCUCUAGACAUGUUAUUAAAAGAGGAAGUGCAGUAGCUGCUGCAAUCUUUGCAGCUGUCUCUGGUCACGUCACCUUACCUAGCGUUCGGAAAUGCCGUCUUCCACCGCCCAUUCUGCAACCCAUUUGCCCUUGGCUGCUCUUGGUUCUUACCUGGCAGCUUUCCAUGGUUAAAGAUCGGAUCUCUCCAUGUCUACCACUUGUUGCUAUGCCUUCCUGCUAUGCUGGACUCAUCCGUCUGGACCUAUAAGCGAAAAUAAACUCUUCCAUCUAGGAAAAUGAUCAGAGAAUGGAAUUGGGGACCUAUACGUUCUCAAUGAGAUGGAUCAGACCUGACGCUCUAUGGGUUUUCUUCCCGCUGUGGUUCCAGAGCGGUCUAACCCAGCAGGAGUGAGUACCUUCCAGCAGAUGACCCAGUGCAAAAAAGUCUAAAGAAAAGCAGUGUUGGUUGCUUGCCUUCCCUUGGUCUGGAGUCCAUGUGUCUGUCUCUGCUGCGACUGUCUUCUUCUGACAUCAGACUCAAGCGUCUUCAGCCUUCUUCCAACACGAGCUGCAUACUAGUGACUCUCCAGGAAUCCUCCAGACCUUCAGCACCAGACUGGGACCGCCAAGGUGAUCAACUUUGUGGACUAAACAGCAUCUCUGACUAAACUCAUCUUGUGUGAGUCACUCUAACAAAUCCUUCUUUAUAACCCAUGUUUCUUCUAUUAGUUCUGUGUCUAAAGAACUCCAUUUAAUCCAGUUUGUGGCUCUAGUAGCAGAUUCUAGAGAGGCAGAAUCCUAAGGAUGAAUUUCUCUAGUGGACUUGAUGGUGUCUGGAGCUGGCUCUCCAGUUCAUCUACACCUAAAACUGCUAAGGACUCGACGGUACUCUGGAAGUGGGGAGAGAGCAUUGCUAUUCCAUCUUGUGAAUUAAAGAACUGUACAGCGUGCGCACAUGCACACACGUAAAUAAAUAAGUGAACGUAACUUUAAAGUGAAAAUAAGAGGAAAGAGAAUGGCCCUUCUAGGAGUGGAAGUGGACCGAGAGCUGGGAAAGGCUAGAAGCUCUGAUGGCGUUCAGCCAGGGCAGUCAUGAGCUGCUGUGGGUCAUUUAUAUCGCGGCUACAUGCUCCACAUUUGGAACAUUUGAGAGCAGGAGCUUUAGUCGGGUGUAAUCUGUCCCUUAGAUGCAGCCCCUAGUUGGAUGUUUCCAGUCUUCCUCUACCAUUGGUUUCUUUCAUAUGCUAAUUUUUAUCUUCUUUUCCCCCAGCAUGUUAUGCUAAUGGACAGCAGAGACACCAAGCAGUGUCCAUUAUGGUCCAACUGGGAUAGCUUAGUGGUCUGUGUUCCCAAAAGAGCAAUAGAUGGGGGAGGGGUUACUUAGCGCCCACUCCAUCUGUAUAAGCAAAUUCCAGAGCAAAUGAAACAUUUACCUUGAGGGAUUGGAAGCCAGCUCAGCGUUUUGGAGCACUGACUGCUUUUCUAGAGGGCCUGGGUUCAAUUCCUGGCACCCUCAUGGCAGUUUACAGUAAUCUGUAGUGACUCCAAUCCUAGGGGUUCCAGUGUCCGCUAUAGUCCUCUGCAGGCACCAGACACACAAGUGGUGUACAGACAUGCAUGCAGGCAGA